rnacentral:ncRNA from 1 species
GCUUUUUUCGCCCAGGCGGAGCUCGACCGCAAACCGAAGUAAUGGCGGCGUUUAUUGACCGGGAACGCGAGAAUCACGGUGUCGAGUCAAUCUGCAAAGUCUUGCCGAUUGCGCC